rnacentral:lncRNA from 1 species
GUUUAGGGUGCUAAUUAUUUCAUCCAGAAAACCCUACAAUUAUUGUCAGCUUUCAGUGUAGUCAGAAUAUUCCUAUAGGUUAUGGGAUACAAUUCAGGAUUUAACUAAUGUUUCUGCUAUUUUCUCACUUUUCCUUUUGAUGGUGCGGAAAGAGAAAAGGAAAACGGGGCACAGGCCAUUCGCCGCCUUCUCCAGGGGUCUGAUUUGCUGAGACACCAGCUCCACCUUCCUAACAAGGUGCAGCUCAGUGGAAGAUGAUGACAACCAGAAGACAUGAGCUAAGGUUUCUGUCCUAUAAAAGAUUAAAAAAAAAAAGAAUUUUUCCUUUUAGUUUUUGUCUUAAUUUUUUAGUUUUCAGCACUAUAAUUUGGGUUUCAUUAGUGUUUGGUACUUAGAAUAGUAGUGCUAAUUGUGGUGUUCAUCUGUAAAGUGCUUGUUUUAUCAUACUGCUUGACUCCUUCC